ACACUUGAAGAAGUAGAAGUAACAAAAAUACUUUGAAUGUGAAAACGAUAAGAAGUUUUUUUCUCUCUUAUCAAUAAGUAGUGAGUGAGUUAUAUUAUUAUUAUAUGAGUACAAACAAAAUGCUUGUUGUAGAUUCUUCGUAUCCUCCUCCUAGUUCUUCUUCUUCAUUUGGAAUAUAUGUGUUAAUAAUGUGUGCUUUAUGCUUAUAUUGAAUAUAUCCAUUGGUAAUUAAUUAAUAGAUGUACAGGGUGGGCCAAGCUAUCUAUGUCGUCAUGUUGGGCAAACGCUGUCACGUAGGCUGCCAUUUUUUUUAGAGAUAGCUUUUUCAAACUUGCACUAUAAAUAAAUUGAAAAAUAUGGAAUCAAUUGACAAAUUCGUUGUCCCAAAUAUUUGACAAAGGCACGGAGUCCUCCCUGAAAACCACUCGGAAGCCACAACAUAACAAUUGCUCGAACUCUGGAACUCAGGUAGACGUUCGUUCACAAGGCUAUGAGGAAAUUUGAGGCCUCUAAAGGACUCAGUUCCCUGCCACAACUCGAUUAAAAGUCUCAAAUGGCUCAAAGUCAAAUUUGACGACUUCAUUACGCCGGAUCUGAAUCCGAUGGAUUUGUGUGUGUGUGGAGUGCGAUCGAACGACAAACCAACUACACCCCCUGCAACAUCAAAGACGAACUUAUUAGUCGGAUCAAGAAGGAAAUCUAGAAUUUGCCAAGAAACCAAGAGGCAACGUCCAACUUGUGCUUUCGCCCUCAUAUAUAGACUGUAAUUGAUAGAGAUGAUUUUAUUGAAGGAAAUAAAUUGAAGACAUCAAGCUUUUAAAUCGGGUUUUAUUUUUUUAAAUCUGACAACUGGUUUGAGAAAAAUUGUGUUUGAAAAAAAAAAUCCUUGUAGCAGCAAAUAAAAUAUGUGCACCCUGUAUGUAGGUAUGAAAGAACCACAAAGGAAACACAGACAGGAGACAAAAUAUACAUGGACUUCCUUUGACCUCAUUUGCAUUAUGAGAAUAUAGAAAUAUAUUCAUUGUUUCUUUCAUUAAUAGAAUUUAUAUUACUCCGUAUUUAUGAAAAACUUCCUAACUUUUAAUAUUGUAAAAUAUAUACUUUUGGUUAUAACCUA
rnacentral:lncRNA from 1 species